rnacentral:rRNA from 1 species
GACGAACGCUGGCGGCGUGCUUAACACAUGCAAGUCGAGCGGUAAGGCCCUUUCGGGGGUACACGAGCGGCGAACGGGUGAGUAACACGUGGGUGACCUGCCCUCAGCUCUGGGAUAAGCCUGGGAAACCGGGUCUAAUACCGGAUAUGACUCCAUGACGCAUGUUGUGGGGUGGAAAGCCUUGUGCGGCUGAGGAUGGGCCCGCGGCCUAUCAGCUUGUUGGUGGGGUGAUGGCCUACCAAGGCGACGACGGGUAGCCGGCCUGAGAGGGCCGACCGGCCACACUGGGACUGAGACACGGCCCAGACUCCUACGGGAGGCAGCAGGUGGGGGAUCUUGCGCAAUGGGCGAAAGCCUGACGCAGCGACGCCGCGUGAGGGAUGACGGCCUGUGUAA